CCAGAUUGCCCUGGAAUGCAUCACAGUUGAGAGUAAUCCCCACGCCCCACGGAACCCAACCCAAGGCCCCGCAGGGAGGUAAAUCGGGAUUUGCUCAAGGUAGCAGGAAUCUAUCCCGAGCAGCCAACCUCGGUCACAGGCUCAGCCGGGUCGCCCUUACCACUUGAACCAGCGCCCGGGGGAGAGAGAUAGCACAGGAGGUUUGUAGGAUUGUCAUUCUGUGAAUCACAUUCCUUCUCCCCUUAUGCUGACAUUUGAUGGCUGCUCUUUUGGAAUGUUGCUCUUCUUAUAAUGUAACCUAAAAUGAGAGGGUUUUUGUUUUUUUGCUUUUGUAUUUGUUUUUUGGCUUUUGAUUUUGUUUU